rnacentral:autocatalytically_spliced_intron from 1 species
UUGAGCGGAGUGCGGUGAAAGUCGCACGCUCCGUUAUCAGGAGACCAAAUGGCUAUGCUUACAUGGCUGUUAAGGUGGGAUACUAAAAAGCGGAUAAACUUUGCACUUAUCCGCC